rnacentral:lncRNA from 1 species
AGGGGUGGGGCGUGAUGCAAUCAAGAGGUUCUUGGCGUGAUUCAAGGAGGGGUGGAUGCCCCUCCUUUGUUUCACCCGAGGAAGAAAAGGAGGGGGAGUUCCUUCCUUUUAUGCUUUAGAUUUUCUAAUUCAAUUAGGAAUCAUAUGGUUCCUCUUGAUUAAUUGAAUCCUAAUCUAAUUAGGACCCAAUAUGUCCUCCAAUUUGAUUCAUGUAAAUCCUAAUCCAAUUAGGAUCCAAAUUGGAUUUAUGAAUUAAGUUCCUUAUCAAAUAAGGAGUUCUAAUUAAUUAGGACUUUCCAUCCUUAUCUAAUAAGGUUAAGCCUAAUUGAUUUAGUCCAAUUGAAAUCCUCCUUCUUUAACUCACUAACUCUUAGUGGGUUAAACCAAUUAUCAAUCAAAUUGACAAUCAAGAUAUAUUGCAAUUCUAAAUCGCAAUCCAACCGUCGGAAUGAUCAAAAUCUCUUAUAUGUGUGACCCCAUAGGUUCUAUUCUGUCUGAUAGUGAGAUAUAUUGUGAUCUCCAUCAUAAUAUUAUUGAAACUCCUUUCAAUUGGUUGAAAUAAUUUCAACUCUUUUCUUCAGAAUUUACUGAUCAUCAAGUGAAUGCCUUCGAGUCUCACAAUCCACCAGUGAUACCUAGCAGCAUGUAGUGACAAUCCAGUAAAACGGAAUAGAUGAACUUCUAGGUGCAGUUAGCGUAUGAUAUAGUCCUUCUAUCAUGGAUCCCGACAAGAUGGAGGUCAUGGAUAACUCCUCAAACCCCAUCAUCUGUCAUAUGUCAAAAUUUAUUUGACUUAAGUUCGAGAUUAGAAAACUCCUUUUCCAAAAUGUCUUAGCCAAGGUUUUUCGAACUCAGACUCAUAAAUCACAUAGGAUCUCUCUUAGUCUAUCAAGAUCGAUAGAUCCCAUCUAGAUGCAAUCCUAAUUCN